CAGGGGCGGCUGCAUUAGGCAUGCAAGUCGUGCGGAAAGGCCCCGCAAGGGGUACUCGAGCGGCGAAAGGGAUAGUAAUGCGUGGAUACCUGCCCUGGGGACGGGGAUAGCUGCUGGAAACGGCAAUUAAUACCCGAUGACGUCUCCGGACCAAAGGUGUGAUUCCGCCCUGGGAGGGGUCCACGUCCUAUUAGCUAGUUGGUGAGGUAACGGCUCACCAAGGCCACGAUGGGUAGCGGGUGUGAGAGCACGACCCGCAUCACUGGGACUGAGACACUGCCCAGACACCUACGGGUGGCUGCAGUCGAGGAUCUUCGGCAAUGGGCGAAAGCCUGACCGAGCGACGCCGCGUGCGGGAUGAAGGCCUUCGGGUUGUAAACCGCUUUCGGAGGGGAGGAAAUCGAGGAGGGUUCACCCUCCUCGUUGACCUAUCCUAAGAAGAAGGACGGGCUAAGUUCGUGCCAGCAGCCGCGGUAAUACGAACCGUCCAAACGUUAUUCGGAAUCACUGGGCUUAAAGGGUGCGUAGGCGGCCCGGUAAGUUGGGUGUGAAAUCCCUCGGCUUAACCGAGGAAUUGCGCCCAAAACUGUCGGGCUCGAGGGAGAUAGAGGUGAGCGGAACUUAGGGUGGAGCGGUGAAAUGCGUUGAUAUCCUAAGGAACACCGGUGGCGAAAGCGGCUCACUGGGUCUCUUCAGACGCUGAGGCACGAAAGCUAGGGGAGCGAACGGGAUUAGAUACCCCGGUAGUCCUAGCCCUAAACGAUGAGCACUAGAUCG
rnacentral:rRNA from 1 species